GAUGAACGCUGGCGGCGUGCCUAAUACAUGCAAGUCGAGCGAACGGACGAUAAGCUUGCUUCUCGGAUGUUAGCGGCGGACGGGUGAGUAACACGUGGAUCACCUACCUAUAAGACGGGGAUAACUUCGGGAAACCGGAGCUAAUACCGGAGAAUAUUUUGAACCGCAUGGUUCAAAAGUGAAAGACGGUCUUGCGGUCACGUAUAGAUGGAUCCGCGCUGCAUUAGGUAGUUGGGAAGGUAACGGCUUACCAAGGCAGCGAUGCAUAGCCGACCUCAUAGGGUGGUCGCCCGCCCGAGAUGUGAGACAGGGUCCAUGCUCCUGCGAUAGGGACCAGUCGGCAAUCGUCCGCAAUAGGGGAGAGCCUUGCGCAACAGGCCGGCGCGAGAUACAACGAUGCCCCGAGCGUGAUGCUCUGUUAUUAGGUGAGAACCUAUUUGUAAGGAGCUGUGCCGAUCUUGACGGUACCUAAUAAGAAAGCCCCGGCUAACUACGUG
rnacentral:rRNA from 1 species